GACGAACGCUGGCGGCGUGCUUAACACAUGCAAGUCGAACGGAAAGGCCCUGCUUGCCGGGUACUCGAGUGGCGAACGGGUGAGUAACACGUGGGUGAUCUGCCCUGCACUUCGGGAUAAGCUUGGGAAACUGGGUCUAAUACCGGAUAGGAGCCAUCUUUAGUGUGGUGGUUGGAAAGUUUUUUCGGUGUAGGAUGAGCUCGCGGCCUAUCAGCUUGUUGGUGGGGUAAUGGCCUACCAAGGCGGCGACGGGUAGCCGGCCUGAGAGGGUGUACGGCCACAUUGGGACUGAGAUACGGCCCAGACUCCUACGGGAGGCAGCAGUGGGGAAUAUUGCACAAUGGGCGCAAGCCUGAUGCAGCGACGCCGCGUGGGGGAUGAAGGCCUUCGGGUUGUAAACUCCUUUCACUAGGGACGAAGCUUUUUGUGACGGUACCUAGAUAAGAAGCACCGGCUAACUACGUG
rnacentral:rRNA from 1 species